rnacentral:rRNA from 1 species
UACGUAGGGGGCUAGCGUUGUCCGGAUUUAUUGGGCGUAAAGAGCGUGUAGGCGGCCAGGUAGGUCUGCUGUGAAAACUCGAGGCUCAACCUCGAGACGUCGGCGGAAACCAUCUGGCUAGAGUCCGGAAGAGGAGAGUGGAAUUCCUGGUGUAGCGGUGAAAUGCGCAGAUAUCAGGAAGAACACCCGGGGCGAAGGCGGCUCUCUGGGACGGUACUGACGCUGAGGAGCGAAAGCGUGGGGAGCGAACAGG